AACGAACGCUGGCGGCAUGCCUAACACAUGCAAGUCGAACGAGACCUUCGGGUCCAGUGGCGCACGGGUGCGUAACGCGUGGGAACCUGCCCUUAGGUUCGGAAUAACUCCCCGAAAGGGGUGCUAAUACCGGAUAAUGUCUUCGGACCAAAGAUUUAUCGCCUUUGGAUGGGCCCGCGUUGGAUUAGCUAGUUGGUAGGGUAAAAGCCUACCAAGGCGACGAUCCAUAGCUGGUCUGAGAGGAUGAUCAGCCACACUGGGACUGAGACACGGCCCAGACUCCUACGGGAGGCAGCAGUGGGGAAUAUUGGACAAUGGGCGAAAGCCUGAUCCAGCAAUGCCGCGUGAGUGAUGAAGGCCUUAGGGUUGUAAAACUCUUUUACCCGGGAUGAUAAUGACAGUACCGGGAGAAUAAGCUCCGGCUAACUCCGUG
rnacentral:rRNA from 1 species